CAACAGUGGCCCGAACCAUUGGACUCCUUGCUCAAAACUGCCUCAGCUCAUCUGCCUGAAAUUCCAGUUACUGUCAUGUUGUGGGGACCCAUAUAGGAACAAAACGUGGACUACUCGAGAGGUAGCUACCCUGCGCCCACAGACUGUGACAACGGAGGGUGACCCAGGAGGGGAAGCUGCCUCUCUUCCGGCCUAGGAUCCAUUGUCAUCUGCAGAGAGAGAAGUGCCAAGGGAUCCUCAGAGAUACCAUGACUGCAGCACCAACCAAAAUCC
rnacentral:lncRNA from 1 species